UAAUUAUAAUAUGUGUCUGAGUGUUUAUUAACAUGAAUAUUUUUAUUUUUCAUGUUUGAUAGCUUAGUAUUGAGACGUGUGUACUAUGUUUGUUAUUAUUAAUGAGGUUUUUUAGUAGGCGUGACCGUAGCUGAUUUAAGUUUACUCUUUUGGAUAUAUUAUGCUAGGCCCAUGUCAGCCUUUAUCUAGGGUUAGCCCAAGAUAUUUAAAAUGUAGAGCAUUUGAAAUUGGCCAUAAAUAAAAACGUCACGGCAGGCAGCUAGUCUGAGGGUGAAUGGUAUAAAAAUGUACUCGUUGUGCCACUAUAUACAGACUGUAAAUUUAAUUUAAAAAAAAUAUUUCAUAGAAUUUGGUUGCCUAGAAAUGUUUUUGUUUAAUUUUAUUCAUUUAUUAAAAUGUGAAAUUUAACUUAAAUGUGAUAUUUGUAAAAUAAAUAUGUCUUGUAAUCAAGAUAUUGAAUGGGAGUAUAUACCCGUAGAAACAGCUGAUGAAAUUAUGCUGUGUGGAGAUGUGGCUGAGAGUAAACGUCUAAAAAAUUGGAAUAGAUGGCUUAAAAUAAGAAAACAACAGCAUAAAUACCUUGGUUUAAUGGUAAAUAUUUGACUGUGUUAUAAAAUAGGAAUUUAAAAAAUAAAUUGUACAGGUAUGUCGUAAACCUACGUCAUUGCUAAUGAACGAAUCUGAUAAAUUCAGAUCAAAAGUUGAAUGUAAAUGGUUGAUUGAUGUAGCACUCAAGUUAAAAAUCAAUAAUGAAUAUCAUACAGAUUUUCCUUAUUCUGUCGAUAGAGAAAUAAAAAAAUUUACUAGUGUGUAUACACCAGAUGUAAUACGUACUGAAAAAGGAUUAUUGGGCAUUAGGAAGGAUGCUCGCUUUGAUUUGCAAACACCUAAUAAUGUGUUGAUUUAUAACGAAUUAUAUACUUUAAAAAGUUUAAUACCUUUUAAAAAUCCUAAAAAAUUAGCUAUUAUUGGGGAAAGUAUUCUUAAAAAAGCUAUGAAACACAAACUUGAUUAUAAAGGUACUAUUCCAUCAAUUUAUGUUGAGUCUGCUCAAAAGAAAAAUAAUUAUUGUAAUAUUGCACUAAUUGUCGUUAGAGUAAAUGAUUAUAUAAUAAAAUCAAUUGAUGACAGCACUAAAUGCAUGACGUUUAAGUUAAAAACAAAAUCAAAACCAAUUAAUAUUGUAAAAAUAAAUGAAGAUUCUUGGGAUGAGAUAAUUAUAGAAAACUGUGGUCAAAUAAGUAUUUACUAUAAAUGGAUAAAAGAAGAAUGUACUACUACAAAAUAUGAUUGUAUUUUAAAAGAAAAACCAAAAGAAUGUUUUUUUUUUGACACCAGGACCAAUAUUUUGGGUCCUGGUCAAAUCCAACGUUUAACAGUUUUAUUCAGACCUACACAAACUGGGCCUCACAGAGAAAUGUGGUUUAUACAAUUAAAUAUUCUGGGAAGAUUAGAUCAUAUAGCUAGAAUCAAUGUACCUCUACAAGGCUGUGCUAUUCACAAUGUAGACAACAUGUCAUCUAUAAUAAAACUGCAAAAUACAAUAUUAUCUGAGAGAGUUAAUGGAUUAUAUGCUAAACCAAUCAACAAGGAUCGUGAAAAUAUAUUUUUGGAAAACAAUUCUUCUUUCAUUACAAAAUAUCAUUACCAUGAUGAAAAGAUGAAAUAUCUUUACCACAUAUUACAAACAGAGGACACUAAGGAUAUUGAAGAACUUCUAUACCAUUGUAUGCAACUAAAAGAGUCGCUCAAAGAAAAAUGCUUGGAUUUAAUUAGUCAAACAGCUGUAACAUUGUUAAAAAAGGAAAUUUUUUUUGAACACAGUCAGAUGACUCAACAUGAAUUAAACGCACAUAAAACUAUGUAUAUAACAAUGGAUUGUAUUGAUUUGAUAUUGAGUACUUAUGAACUUGAUCAUUAUGAAGUCUGUCAAGAACUGUGUAGCAAAUUUGUUGAAAAUAAACCGAGAUUAGUGAAAUAUUCAGAUGAUGAAACAUUCACAAUUGAUAACGCUAUGGAACAAAAAACUGAAUAUGCUUCAAUGAGCGAAGAAUGGUUUGAAAUGAUCAAGCCCAUGAUCAAGAAACGGUUAGAAUGGGCUGUGGAAAGAAUAUCAGACUAUGAUAUCCUGUGGGCAGAGUGUAAACAUGAAAACCAUAAUGAGACUGUGAAGGACGAACAUACAAGAGGAAUAGAAUCAUAUGAGCAAAAAGAGUGUAGUCUUUCACUUGUGAGACAAUUUUUUAUAAACAAAUAUUUGUGAGUUAUAGUGAUAUUACAUAUUAUUUACAUAUACAGGUAAUUAUACCAAUAUGCUUAUAUUAUGCCUAUACUAUUUUUUUUGUGGUUUAUCACGAUUAAAAGUCUUUGCAAGUGGGUUAUCCAUCCGUCGAAUAUUUUAUUUAUAUGUCUAUGGGGUCAUCCGUCGCCUUAUAUAAUACUAUAGGUAUAUAUCUAAUAUCUGUAUUGUUUAUUUUGAAUAAUAAUAAUAUAUUUUAUUGACUAUCUAUUGCCCUAAACUACUGAUUUUGGUGGCCGGAGCCAAACAAAAUAAUAAGUAUAAGAAAUCUCUAUGCCUAUAUGGCUAUAUCCCUCUUAAUUUCGCUGGCGGUGCACAUUUUAAGUUUAUCAGCAGUGCUACAAAAUACUGAAUUAGUGCAUCUGUUUUUCCCUAUUCUGGACUAAGCGCCACAUAGUUACAUAUUAUAGACCACCCCUAUAAUAGUUAUGUAUUAAGCACAAUAAUAUAUUGGGCCAUCGUCGCACAUCCAGCACACGGUUAACGACCAAUUGAAGUUCAUUAUCAACUAUCGUGUUGUAAUAUGCCACCUCGAAGUCCGAACAAAUAACUCUCAUUACCUAAUUAAAGCCAUAAAUCAUAAUGAAUCACACUGAGAUGACUAAUCGAAUUCAUUUUAAGAAGUAUAUUGAUGAAGAACAGAUAAUGUUUAUUUACGACACUAUAGUCAUAGGCGGAUAUUGGGGGGGACUUGGGGGGCUUAAGCCCCCCCAGAACGUAGUCAAGCCCCCUCGGAAGGUUCUAGUAUCUCUACUUCAAUUACAACAAACAAUAUUGAUACAAUUGUAGAAAAUAAUCAAAAUAUAAAAAAAAAAAUAUUGUUUUGUAAGAAUUUAUUUUCAACUGUUCCCCUUAAUUACCGCUGAUAAGACCGUUAUAUUAUCCCAUCCUAGGAAUGUGUUUAACACUUUAGAAUCCCUAUACAUACAUUUUUCACAUCCGUCAAAAAAUCAACAUUUAAUUGAGAUUCAAACCAAUCUGGGGAUAAAACAUAGGUCAAUGAUUAGACUCAGUGACACUAGAUGGAACUGCCGCUAUAGAAAUAUAGAGUGUGUUAAAGCAAGUUAUAAAGCAAUCAUUCAAGCUUUAGAAGACGAAAUCGAAAAUGAAGAUGAUAGAGGAGUAAAUGAAGCAAUUGGUAUAUUAAUAUAUUAUUAUAAUAACUAAUAAGUAAUAAUUUAUAAAUUAAUAAAAAGUAAUUAUAGUCCUUUUUUUUUUGUUUUAGGAAUAUUAGCAAAUUUAAAAAGUGGACCAUUUAUAGUUUAUUUAUUUAUCUUACAUAAAGUAUUAAUUCAUAUUAAUACCGUUACCAACAAAUUUCAAGAAAAAACUGCAACCUUAGGGCAAUCUAAAAAUAUUAUUCAAGGUGUGAUGAUGACUUUUAAAAAUUUAAGAACAACAAAAUAUUUUUCUCAGCUUUGGUGUGAAACCUUUGCUAAAGAUCAUGACAUAUCAAUACAAACACCGUCUAAAGUUGAGCCUUGAUUAUACAUAUAUUUAUUUAUAAUUCUUAAUUUUAAGUAAAUAUUUACUUAACUAGGAUGUAAAAGAAAAAGACAAGAGCCAACAAUUUUUUUAAAUGUUGAUGUCACUGCAACCACAAGUGCUGAACAUAGUAUCAAUGAAACUAAUGAAACCACUGAAGGUUAUUUCAAAAAAAAAAUGCUUUCUUUCCUGUAUUUGAUGCUAUCUUGGUAAAUCUGGAAAAAAAGGUUUUCUCCUGAAAGUCUCCAAAUGGCUACAGCUGUUGAUCAAUUUUGUCAACUUAACUUUGAGGAAAGUGUUUUUUUUUUGUAGAUCAUUAUAAAGAUUUGAUGUGUGUAUCUAAAGAUUUACUGAAGUCAGAAAUGGCAGUGGUAAAGAAUUGCAUAUUGCAGUCUACUGACAAAGAAUAUAUAUCUUUAAAUGAUGUAAAAAAGGUUUUAACAAAAAGUGUUUUCCCUAAUUUAUACAAAUUAUUUCAAGUUGCUAUAACAAUACCAAUAAGUUCCUCAACU